rnacentral:lncRNA from 1 species
UGAUUGUUCUCGCUUUUUCACCCGGCUCCUUAAGGAGGUGGAUUUGUAACUGAAAGGCCCAGGCCUUCAGUAAAUAUUACACCAAAUGUCUCCACCCUAAGGAAAUAUUCUUUCUGCUUUCUGCACAAGCUGUCAUCUUUAUUAUACCAGAAAGUGGCAAACAGCUCUGUCCCAUAUUUAGCAGACUGCAGAAACAACAAUGACUACAACAAAAAAGACCCGAGGACAAUUCGGUGAACCGACCCUGUGCCUCAUCCCAGAAAUGACUCCCAACUCAGAUGACUCAUACCAUCCGUGUUUUGUCCCCAUUUACUCAGCCUCACAGUUCUACCCGCUUCAGUAGAGUGUGAUGUUCUGUGACUUAGAGCUCACCAGAAGAAUACUGACAUUCUUUCAAAUGAGCAGUCCUCAAAUGUGGCACACAGCCCUAUAGGGGUCCCUUAGACCCUUCCAGGGAGUCUUCAAGGUAAAAAAAUUUUCAUCAUAAUACUGACUAAUAUUAAAAUACUCCUCUCUUUUCUAACUGCUGUACAUAUCUGUUUGGGGCUGGAUUUUCUUCAUAACCCAAACAAUAUAUCGUAACAGAUUGAAUACAGAAGCAGAGAUGGGAAUCCAGCUGUUUUUUAUUAAGCCAGACAUUAAAGAGAUUUGCAAAAAUAUGUAAAAUGGUGCCACUCUUCUCAC